rnacentral:lncRNA from 1 species
UGAUGUGGAUCAUGUAAAUGCUGUUGAGCCUGCAAAAUCACUAUUUGCCGGCAAAGCUGGUAUAAGGCGUGCCAUCGAGGCUGAGGGGAUUCCCUACACCUAUGUCUCUUCCAACUUCUUUGCUGGUUAUUUCUUGCCAAACAUUGGACAGUCUGGGGUCACUGGUCUCCCAACUGAUAAAGUUCAAAUUCUAGGCGAUGGGAAUGUAAAAGGUAAAUCCAAUUAGGCUACCCAAAGUAUGGUUUUUCAUUUUUACUAUAUAAAAAUGUAUCUAUAUUAUGAUGAUGACAUUUGAAUCAAUGAAAUGAGAUUAUGUCUGCACAUUUAUGUGUGUAAAUUCCCGACAACAGGAAUCUUUGCUGUGGAAGACGACGUGGGCACCUACACUAUUAAAGCUGUAGAUGAUCCAAGAACCCUGAACAAGACCCUGUAUCUGAGGCCACCAAGCAACACUUUGUCUCAUAACGAGCUUGUCUCACUCUGGGAGAAGAAAGUUGGUAAGACAUUUGAGAGGGUGUACAUCCCAGAAGACGAAGUCCUGAAGAAGAUUCAAGGUUAGAGUAAAGACAUGUUUUUCUUUGUCAAUUUUACUGAAUCCACUCGCUCAUGCUCACCUUUUCAUUUUCUUUUCCCCCAGAAAUGUGCUGCGCCAAUUUUGUACUGAAUUCACUCUCUCUGAUCUGAUUUGUUUCAGAGUCUCCGCCGCCGCUCAAUGUAGUACUGUCACUCGGCCACUCUGUGUGGGUGAAGGGAGACCACACAAACUUUGAGAUCGAUCCAUCGUUUGGAGUUGAAGCCACUGAGCUUUACCCUGAAGUGAAGUACACUACUGUGGAUGAAUACCUGAACAGGUUCCUUUGAACUCCUAGAAGGUCGUAUAGGAGGGCGCAAAUGUUUGGAUGUGUUGAAUAAAUAUUGGAGGGUAUGUCUUUUAGUCGGAAUACCGUGUAAAUUAUAAUGAUAUUAGGACGUGUGAGAUCUCAAUGGUGUGAUGAAUUGUUCCUGUACUCAAUGGUCUGAGGGAACAUGGCAUUGUAGCUUGAUUUGGUGGGAAACAGCCUAGUUUAUUGUAAACAACAUGGACUACGUUAUUAUAAAAAAUAAUAAGUUUAUGACCCUGAGCUUCGUGUGACCUCUGCCUUCCAGUAAAAACUAAAACUUCAAGGAUCACCAAUUCACCAUCUAACGGGACAACUGAAACAUAAUGUUCACUCAAUUCUGUCAGUAGUCUUUGUUGUUUCUGAAGUUGAGAGAACAUAAAUGGGCAUAUACCUAUAGCCGUCUGACUUUAAAUAUUGAAGAUCGGACCACCAGACGAUGGAGCGAAAAUCAUCGUCAAAAUAUGCACUGCGGAGACUCCGAUACUACUUUCUAGGACUGCAAUUCCCCAAUCCAAGCUACAAUUACAAAUUAAUUAGAAGCAAUUGCUAAUAUAUAGUUGUACGUUUUACUGAGCCAUUUUGUCAUGGCUAUCUCGUUAAUUAAAGAAAAAAAUCUUAUUUACCUUUAUAAAUGUUUGAUUUUGUUGAAUUGCCAACAAAGAUGAACAGAUCUUUGCAGUAAUCUAUGCCCACAAGUAAACCCAAUUGAAUCAUGACUACAUGCUAGCGGUAUUCCUGAUGCCUGCCAUGCCUACUAUGCUCCGAAUGUGAUGAGAAAUGUUAUGCAUGAGAAUGCGCAAGAAACAUACGAGAACCCCUGGUUAUAUGGCCAUCUUGUUUCUGUAUGUAUAUAACUCUCUUGCGCCUCUAUCUCCUGGAGAGUGCACAUGCUGAAAAUAACUACAAAUCUCCCCUCACCGAAGUGCGCAAGAUAUUCUAAAUUGAUUUCUCCUUAUGACUAUCUAAAAAGAGAUAAUGCUCAUCCACCUACCACCAUACACCAUGCAUGUGCCUAGUAUCAUGGACAAGGCCAUGCACUAUUUUGCUGGUGGUGCUUAUCUUGACAUUGCCCUUUGGGAGAACAGUUCGGACUUUCGACGACUUUGAACACAUGGUGCACAUGGAGGUGAGGCUGGCUCACUGAGUGACGAUGGUGUAGCCGUGUAGGGCGGUGGGGACGUGGGGUGGGAGGUUGUUGCACUUGCACCAUGUCCUUGACGCAAUGCUGGGUGAGCAUCUCUGCAUCUCUCCAUCUCCUCCAAUCCUGAUUCCUGACAUUAGGACUCUAUGCUCCUCCACCAUGCGCCUUGUCUUCUCUCUAGCGACAGAUGAUGGCUAUUUCACCCUUUCUGUUGAGUUCGAGGAGACAGAAAUGUGCACUUUAAACAUACAAAGACCAAACCGAGUGUUCUCAUCGCCCUGCUUUCCAUGGCGUGAGAAUGCAUUUCACUCUCAAGAAUAAAUAUUGCUCUGUUUCCUCUGCUAUGCACUAGCUCCCCUGUCUUUCUCUAGUUUCUUGUUUACAUGUUUCAUCAUCAAACCGAACACAACAGGAAUCUCCCUGCCCAUACCAAGACUCGUUUACAUUGUGUAAUUAAUCUUGCCAAACCAGCUAGACCAUGGGCAAGCUUGUUACUCUCUCUUCCAAUUUUUCUCACCGCAAAGUCUUGAAAAAGGGACUUCAGGUGCUUUAUUUCCUCGUAGAUAUGCCAAAUUCUUCCACGAUAGUACGUCAUCAUUCGAUUUGAUCACGAUCACAACAGCACCAUAUCUGAUUCCAGAAUCACCGGGGCUUGCGAGAUGUUGCCCGAUUUUCUUUGGACGCCCUCAAUUUUUAUCACUCAAGGAAGCCUAUACAGAUCUUUACGCUAUCAGGAAAUUAACAACUUAACUAAUAACACCUAGGGGCAUUAAUUUGCAAGGUGACUGCCAUCCAUGACGGGCCAGGGCCUUGAUCGCUCGCUCCACAGGCUCACAUAUAUAUGAUGCCGGUCCUCCACCUUGUGAAGAAUAAACAAAGUACAGAACCAGGGCAUGUACAGUUAUGUAUAACCUGCGCAUGCAGUGAAUGUCAACGGCUAGUGCAGGCGUUUCCCGAGGCGACUCGCUGGGGGAUCUCGCUUUCGCGGCCGUCCAGCGGAAGUCCAGUCGCCGGCGUCUGAUGCGGUAUUGCCGGUUCUCCUGUCUCGUGGUUGGUACUGAACAGGGCGAGAGCUCUCGGGGCUGAGGAGGUGGUCCGCUCUGUGCCUCUGUGCUUGCCGCCGGGCUUGAUGAGAAUGGGGCAGCGAGGGUCUGAGCUCGGUGAACGUGUCGAAGUUUCCGGUCCAGCCGCCGCCUAUGCCGUCGUCUUCGCCGGGGUGGUUUCAUCGUCCGGCCUAGCUUGGUGACCACCGGUUCGGAAUAGGUCGUGGCUCCGGCCGCGGAGGGGGCCCUUGCCGCGGUGCCGGCAGUUGUCGGAGGGUCGCCCGUGGGAAGCCCCAAGAUCAGUUACUGCCUUACUGGCAAUCACGCCGCCAUCUUCGGAUCAGACGCCUGGGCUGUUUGAUCCUUCUUUGCAGAGACCCAUCGUUGGCUGUGGGCCAGAGCGAGAUGGGCCCGAUCGAGGAGAUUCGUUCGCGUCCCCGUUUCAGGCCCAGUCUUUGGGAGCUGUUUGCCCAUAAGGCCUAAUUCGUUACGCCCAACCAGGUGGGUAUCGACGGUGAUGAGUGAAAUUUUAGUUCAUACCUCUUUCCGCUUUGGUUUCAGCUUCGAGAGGGUAUAUUUAAACGCAAGUAUUGGAGGCAGAGUUACGUCGCAUGGUGCCUACUCCAAGUUAAUAAUGUUUUCGUGGUGGUUUUCCCUCUCGAGAGGAACUUUAGAGGGUUGUCAGUAUGGAAAUCCUGUUUAAGGCUCAGAAAAUCUAGUUAGAAUAUAGCGAGCGGAAUCCCGAAGAGGUUCCGCUGCUUUCCAGUUGCACAGAAUCUGGAUUAUUGUCAAAGGAGUUCUUCCAUUCCUGAAACAUGUCAAGUACCUUGAUAUACCCACGUGCUACAAAUGGAUAAGGUACUUGUUAUGGAUGUACUCGGAAACCAGUGGGUCCAAAGGUGAGGAAGAAAAUGUGUCAGCACUCACAUGCAAAAAGGUGGAGAAAAUGGAAAAAGAAAACCAAUUUGUGUGUUCUGACAAAAAGCAAGAGAGAAGAGAGAAAAAGUUGUCAAGUGGUCACAUCGGUCACACUAAAAUAGACCAAUGUAAAAAAAAUGUUUCCUCUCACUCAUCUCUAAUGUAAGGCAUACUAUUUUCGUCCAACAGUAGUAGGCGUAUUAGCUUCCUGAUUAUUCUACUAAUAUAUAAUUAUAUGACAUAAAAUUGAUAUCAUUAUAUUUUUAUUCAAGAACUUGCUUGUGGUUAUGAUGUUGAUCAGAUUAAUCACAUAUUAACGAAGUAAUUUGUGAUCAGAACUUGGUCAACUAAAAUCUAAUAUGUCCAAUAUUGUUGCACGGAGGAAGCAGCAAGUUUAUUGCAUGGCACAUAUCUCAAUACUUCAUCCAAUGGCUAUAAUAGGGUAGGAAUAGAUACUGCAUAGAAUACCGCAUCGGCUUUAAUCAACCAAACAUGCCCUUGGUCCGGUUAAUUACGUUCUCGCCAGAUGUGUGAUAUACAUGUCUUUUUUUUGUUUGAUUGUCGGUCCCGCGGCAAAAUUUGCUCCAUCAAUAUAUGCAACACCUAACGCUGAAAAAGAUCCCCCACCCUUUCCGUUCAAUUAACAUAUCAUUAAGUCCACCGCGCGGCAAACUUGGUUAGCUAUGUAUACAAACUUUAUUAUCAAAAAAAUAUCGUCAAGUCCCAUCAAAAAAUAUAUAUCGUUAAGUCGACGCAAGAAAAAAGAAAGAAGUCCAAGUUUAGUGCAACCAUGUCGCCGCUCGAACGAAAGAGAAAGACCCUUGAAUUCGACGCAACGCUUCCCCUUUCUCUUUUUUAGCCCGCAGCCAGUCGUCGUCAGUCUCCACAGUUUCUGUAGUAGCAUCCCUUGCUGUAGAUGGCGGAGAAGAACAACAACAGGAGCCGGGUGCUGGUGAUCGGCGGCACGGGCUACAUUGGCCGCCCCAUCGUCGCCGCCAGCGCCCGCGAGGGCCACCGGACCUCCGUCCUCGUCCGCGACGCCGCGCCCGCCGACGAAGCCAAGGCCGCCGUCCUCCAGGGCUUCCGGGAUGCCGGCGUCACCCUCGUCAAGGUCAGCACUCAACAGCCGCCAUAUUCUGUUCUUAGUACCCUGUUCUGUGUGUGCUUGUUGUGUUCCUCUGUUUUUCGUUUGGGAAGUUGGUGGUGUCACCUUGGGUCAAAAUGACAGCAGAAACAAUGAUAAGACGUAGUGAACUUAAUUAUCAAUCAACAUCACUGAAAUAAAAGACAUCUGGUGGUUCUAAAUAGGGAUCAACCAAUCAGAUAAACAGUAGAUUAGACUUUCAUUUCCUGCAUUGCUUUCCCUGUGGUCGAACUUACUGCUCCAUUACGUCUUUUAAUGGAGUGUGGCCCGCAAUUUUUUUUCGGGCCGAUGAAAAAAAAGAAAGAUAAACAGUAAUAUUUGGUGAUUCCGACAAAGUAAAGAUCACGAGAAUUUAGCCUUUACCUUGGAUCGUGCACAGAAACAAAUUUGCAGCAUAUUGUGCUAGGAUUCUUCAGUGUUGACUGUUGAAUCCAGAAAGUUGUCAGCAAUUAUAUUAGGUGACUAGUUUGUGGUUAGGUUCUACACUACACAAUCCAAUUUCUCUGUAACCUACUUGUUGACAAACUUAACUCAUGUUGCUACUGCGAGAAACGAAGUUAUGUUUUUACACGGUUCCUCUGCUGUUUGACAAGUUUUUCAUGACAGUUUUUUUCUAAAGGCCGAAGAAAACCAACAAUCUUUCAAGCUAAUCAAGAAAAACAGCAAUGGCUUAAUAUGUCGGUGAUUGAAGGUUAUGUAUAACUCUAAAAUUACUGUUGGGUCACCAGGGUGAUAUUUAUGAUCAUGAGAGCUUGGUCGCAGCCAUCAAAUCCGCAGAUGUUGUGAUCUCAGCCGUGGCUCACGCACAACACGCAGAUCAAACCCGCAUUAUCGCGGCAAUCAAGGAAGCUGGGAAUGUAAAGGUGACCUCCAAAACUACCAAUAUAAGUUACUAUGCAUGCUCUUUCUGUCUUACUAAAUUUUCGACGGAGUACGUUAUAUUCAGUACUGAUUUAUGGCGCUUGUAACACGCUGCGGAUCAAAUACAUUUUUUUAUGUAAAGCAUUAGAGUGAUUGCUUUGAUUAUUAAGAUGUCCCCUAAAAUGGUCGACAAGAAAAGCUCUGAAACCAAAAUGAGUAAUUUUGUUCAAAACAUGUUGAAUUUCUGGUGUCCCUGUUUUUUUACCACCGUAAUACUUGUCGAGGUCACAUAUUGAUGCGCUCUGUGCAGAGAUUCGUACCGUCAGAGUUUGGUAACGAUGUGGAUCAUGUAAAUGCUGUUGAGCCUGCAAAAUCACUAUACGCCGGCAAAGCUGUUAUAAGGCGUGUCAUUGAGGCUGAGGGGAUUCCCUACACAUAUGUCUCUUCCAACUUCUUUGCUGGUUAUUUCUUGCCAAACAUUGGACAGGCUGGUGUGACUGGUCUCCCAACUGAUAAAGUUGUCAUUCUAGGUGAUGGCAAUGUAAAAGGUAACCCAAUCAGGCUUCCCAAACAAUGGUUUUACAUUUUUGCACUGUAAAAAGUAAUAUCUAUUUUGAUGAUGAAGUUUAAAUCCAUCAAUCAAGAAAUGAGUAUAUGCCUGCACAU